rnacentral:tRNA from 1 species
GCCCCCGUGGCGGAACUGGCAUACGCGGCAGGUUGAGGACCUGUGCCCGCAAGGGCGUGGAGGUUCAAAUCCUCUCGGGGGCACCA